CCUACGGGUGGCUGCAGUGGGGGAUAUUGCACAAUGGGGGAAACCCUGAUGCAGCGACGCCGCGUGUGGGAAGACGGUCUUCUGGAUUGUAAACCACUGUCCCCAGGGACGAAAAUGACGGUACCUGGGGAGGAAGCUCCGGCUAACUACGUGCCAGAAGCCGCGGUAAUACGUAGGGAGCAAGCGUUGUCCGGAAGUACUGGGUGUAAAGGGAGCGUAGGCGGGGAUGCAAGUUGGGUGUAAAAACUACCGGCUCAACCGAUAGUCGCACAUAAAACUGCAGCUCUUGAGUGAAGUAGAGGCAAGCGGAAUUCCUAGUGUAGCGGUGAAAUGCGUAGAUAUUAGGAAGAACACCAGUGGCGAAGGCGGCCUGCUGGUCUAUUACUGACGCUGAGGCUCGAAAGUGUGGGGAGCAAACAGGAUUAGAUACCCGAGUAGUC
rnacentral:rRNA from 1 species